ACAUAGGUUUUCCUCAGAACCAUUAACAUAAUUUCUAAAAUAAUUU
rfam:Equus caballus chromosome 21, whole genome shotgun sequence.